AACACUGAGGCGUGAUGACGAGGCACUACGGUGCUGAAGCAACAAAUGCCCUGCUUCCAGGAAAAGCCUCUAAGCAUCAGGUAACAUCAAAUCGUACCCCAAACCGACACAGGUGGUCAGGUAGAGAAUACCAAGGCGCUUGAGAGAACUCGGGUGAAGGAACUAGGCAAAAUGGUGCCGUAACUUCGGGAGAAGGCACGCUGACACGUAGGUGAAGUGAUUUACUCACGGAGCUGAAGUCAGUCGAAGAUACCAGCUGGCUGCAACUGUUUAUUAAAAACACAGCACUGUGCAAACACGAAAGUGGACGUAUACGGUGUGACGCCUGCCCGGUGCCGGAAGGUUAAUUGAUGGGGUCAGCGCAAGCGAAGCUCCUGAUCGAAGCCCCGGUAAACGGCGGCCGUAACUAUAACGGUCCUAAGGUAGCGAAAUUCCUUGUCGGGUAAGUUCCGACCUGCACGAAUGGCGUAAUGAUGGCCAGGCUGUCUCCACCCGAGACUCAGUGAAAUUGAACUCGCUGUGAAGAUGCAGUGUACCCGCGGCAAGACGGAAAGACCCCGUGAACCUUUACUAUAGCUUGACACUGAACAUUGAGCCUUGAUGUGUAGGAUAGGUGGGAGGCUUUGAAGCGUGGACGCCAGUCUGCGUGGAGCCGACCUUGAAAUACCACCCUUUAAUGUUUGAUGUUCUAACGUGGACCCGUGAUCCGGGUUGCGGACAGUGUCUGGUGGGUAGUUUGACUGGGGCGGUCUCCUCCUAAAGAGUAACGGAGGAGCACGAAGGUUGGCUAAUCCUGGUCGGACAUCAGGAGGUUAGUGCAAUGGCAUAAGCCAGCUUGACUGCGAGCGUGACGGCGCGAGCAGGUGCGAAAGCAGGUCAUAGUGAUCCGGUGGUUCUGAAUGGAAGGGCCAUCGCUCAACGGAUAAAAGGUACUCCGGGGAUAACAGGCUGAUACCGCCCAAGAGUUCAUAUCGACGGCGGUGUUUGGCACCUCGAUGUCGGCUCAUCACAUCCUGGGGCUGAAGUAGGUCCCAAGGGUAUGGCUGUUCGCCAUUUAAAGUGGUACGCGAGCUGGGUUUAGAACGUCGUGAGACAGUUCGGUCCCUAUCUGCCGUGGGCGCUGGAGAACUGAGGGGGGCUGCUCCUAGUACGAGAGGACCGGAGUGGACGCAUCACUGGUGUUCGGGUUGUCAUGCCAAUGGCACUGCCCGGUAGCUAAAUGCGGAAGAGAUAAGUGCUGAAAGCAUCUAAGCACGAAACUUGCCCCGAGAUGAGUUCUCCCUGAGACUUAGAGUCUCCUGAAGGAACGUUGAAGACGACGACGUUGAUAGGCCGGGUGUGUAAGCGCAGCGAUGCGUUGAGCUAACCGGUACUAAUGAACCGUGAGGCUUAACC
rnacentral:rRNA from 1 species